rnacentral:rRNA from 1 species
GUGGGGAAUAUUGGGCAAUGGGGGAAACCCUGACCCAGUGACGCCGCGUGAGGGAAGAAGGCCUUAGGGUCGUAAACCUCUGUUGUGUGGGAAGAAGAGCGUGACGGUACCACACGAGGAAGUCCCGGCUAACUACGUGCCAGCAGCCGCGGUAAUACGUAGGGGACGAGCGUUGUCCGGAUUUACUGGGCGUAAAGGGCGCGUAGGCGGUCAUUUAAGUCAGCUGUGAAAUGGUUUGGCUUAACCGGAUCAUGCGGUUGAAACUGGAUGACUGGAGUGCUGGAGAGGCAAGUGGAAUUCCCAGUGUAGCGGUGAAAUGCGUAGAUAUUGGGAAGAACACCGGUGGCGAAGGCGACUUUCUGGACGAUGUCUGACGCUGAGGCGCGAAAGCUAGGGGAGCGAACGGGAUUAGAAACCCCAGUAGUCC